ACCUUAUUUUUGAUAUAAUAGCUCGAGCAGUAGUUCUUUUUGUGCGGUUUUCCUUCGUCGAUUAAAAGCGGUGGUUUGCUUCUCCGAGUGUCAAAGGACUUUGAGAAGAGAUUUUGGACUGAAAGAAGUUCAACCAUGGCUGAUUUCAAGCAUAUCAUUUGGUAAUUACCUUCUUCGUCUCGCUUUUGGAUGUAUGGAUGAAAGAUGAAAGCUUUUAUAAUUUGUCGAUUUUACUUGUUAAAUAUUCGUCCAGUUGCAGCUGGACAAGAAACUACUAGAAAAAAAAUGGAGAUGGAGAACAGAAUAUUGUUUAUGCAGUUCGGAAAUUUCCUACAUCUACGGGCCUGCCUUGCUCAUGUACUAAUCCACUAUAACAACACCUAAAAGUUGUGAUGUCGCACUCCUAUACUUCUAACUAAAUAACUCCACCUCUAAGUAUUUUCCUCUUUGAUGAACACAAUUUAGUUUACAUACAAUUUUGCACUAAAAAUGUAGUUUCCUGAUUUAACAAAUAAAAUGCUCUCUAAUUUGUACACUUAAGCUACACUAACCGUUCACUAUAUAUAUAAAAAAGGGG